AUACGGAGGGUGCGAGCGUUAAUCGGAAUUACUGGGCGUAAAGCGCGCGUAGGCGGUUUGAUAAGUCGGAUGUGAAAGCCCCGAGCUUAACUUGGGAACUGCAUUCGAUACUGUCAGACUAGAGUAUGGUAGAGGGUAGUGGAAUUCCAGGUGUAGCGGUGAAAUGCGUAGAUAUCCGGAGGAACACCAGUGGCGAAGGCGGCUACCUGGACCAAUACUGACGCUAAGGUGCGAAAGCGUGGGGAGCAAACAGGAUUAGAAACCCCAGUAGUCC
rnacentral:rRNA from 1 species